AAAUAAAAGUGAUUUUAUGGCACUUUUAAAAAAAAUCCAUAUCCACCUUGUGUGCAAUGUAUGAGGAAAAAGAAAAGGAUUAAUCCUUUUUCUUCUUCCCUCUAUAUUAUAUCAACUCUUUGCUUUGAACCUGUUUGUCUGAAAUAAACUAUAUUCUUUGAAUAACUUAAUUCAAAAAUA
rnacentral:misc_RNA from 1 species